rnacentral:lncRNA from 1 species
AUGGACCAGGGUGAUCUCCUACUGUAUCAUAGGUCUAUGGACCAGGGUGAUCUCCUGCUCUAUCAUAGGUCUAUAGACCAGGGUGAUCUCCUACUGUAUCAUAGAUCUAUAGACCAGGGUGGUCUCCUACUGUAUCAUAGGUCUAUAGACCAGGGUGAUCUCCUACUGUAUCAUAGGUCUAUAGACCAGGAUGAUCUCCUACUGUAUAAUAGGCCUAUAGAGCAGGGUGAUCUCCUACUGCAUCAUAGGUCUAUAGACCAGGGUGAUCUCCUACUGUAUCAUAGGUCUAUAGACCAGGGUGAUCUCCUGCUGUAUAAUAGGUAUAUAGACCAGAGUGAUCUCCUACUGUAUAAUAGGCCAAUAGACCAGGGUGAUCUCCUACUGUAUCAUAGGUCUAUAGACCAGGGUGAUCACCUGCUCUAUCAUAGGUCUAUAGACCAGGGUGAUCUCCUACUGUAUCAUAGAUCUAUAGACCAGGGUGGUUUCCUACUAUAUCAUAGGUCUAUAGACCAGGGUGAUCUCCUACUGUAUCAUAUGUUUAUAGACCAGGGUGAUCUCCUACUGUAUCAUAGGCCUAUAGACCAGGGUGAUCUCCUACUGCAUCAUAGGUCUAUAGACCAGAGUGAUCUCCUACUGUAUCAUAGGUCUAUAGACCAGGGUGAUCUCCUACUGUAUCAUAGGUCUAUAGACCAGGUUGUUCUCCUACUGUAUCAUAGGUCUAUAGACCAAGGCGAUCUCCUACUGUAUCAUAGGUCUAUAGACCAGGGUGAUAUCCUACUGCAUCAUAGGUCUAUAGACCAGGGUGAUCUACUACUGCAUCAUAGGUCUAUAGACCAGGGUGAUCUCCUACUGUAUCAUAGGUCUAUAGACCAAGGCGAUCUUCUACUGUAUCAUAGGUCUAUAGACCAGGGUGAUAUCCUACUGCAUCAUAGGUCUAUAGACCAGGGUGAUCUACUACUGCAUCAUAGGUCUAUAGACCUACUGUAUCAUAGGUCUAUAGACCAGAGUGAUCUCCUACUGUAUAAUAGGCCAAUAGACCAGGGUGAUCUCCUACUGUAUCAUAGGUCUAUAGACCAGGGUGAUCUCCUACUGUAUCAUAGGCCUAUGGACCAGGGUGAUCUCCAACUGCAUCAUAGGUCUAUAGACCAGAGUGAUCUCCUACUGUAUCAUAGGUCUAUAGACCAGGGUGAUCUCCUACUGUAUCAUAGGUCUAUAGACCAGGGUGAUCUCCUACUGUAUCAUAGGUCUAUAGACCAAGGCGAUCUCCUACUGUAUCAUAGGUCUAUAGACCAGGGUGAUAUCCUACUGCAUCAUAGGUCUAUAGACCAGGGUGAUCUACUACUGCAUCAUAGGUCUAUAGACCAGGGUGAUCUCCCACUGUAUCAUAGGUCUAUAGACCAAGGCGAUCUUCUACUGUAUCAUAGGUCUAUAGACCAGGGUUAUAUCCUACUGCAUCAUAGGUCUAUAGACCAGGGUGAUCUACUACUGCAUCAUAGGUCUAUAGACCAGGGUGAUCUACUACUGUAUCAUAGGUCUAUAGACCAGGGUGAUCUCCUACUGCAUCAUAGGUCUAUAGACCAGAGUGAUCUCCUACUGUAUAAUAGGCCUAUAGACCAGGGUGAUCUCCUACGGUAUCAUAGGUCUAUAGACCAGGGUGAUCUCCUACUGUAUCAUAGGCCUAUGGACCAGGGUGAUCUCCUACUGUAUCAUAGGUCUAUGGACCAGGGUGAUCUCCUGCUCUAUCAUAGGUCUAUAGACCAGGGUGAUCUCCUACUGUAUCAUAGAUCUAUAGACCAGGGUGGUCUCCUACUGUAUCAUAGGUCUAUAGACCAGGGUGAUCUCCUACUGUAUCAUAGGUCUAUAGACCAGGGUGAUCUCCUACUGUAUCAUAGGCCUAUAGACCAGGGUGAUCUCCUACUGCAUCAUAGGUCUAUAGACCAGAGUGAUCUCCUACUGUAUAAUAGGCCAAUAGACCAGGGUGAUCUCCUACUGUAUCAUAGGUCUAUGGACCAGGGUGAUCUCCUACUGUAUAAUAGGCCUAUAGACCAGGGUGAUCUCCUACUGUAUAAUAGGCCUAUAGACCAGGGUGAUCUCCUACUGUAUUAUAGGUCUAUAGACCGGGGUGAUCUCCUACUGUAUCGUAGGUCUAUAGGCCAGGGUGAUCUACUACUGCAUCAUAGUUCUAUAGACCAGGUUGAUAUACUACUGUAUCAUAGGUCUAUAGACCAAGGUGAUCUCCUACUGCAUCAUAGGUCUAUAGACCAGGGUGAUCUCCUACUGUAUCAUAGGUCUAUAGACCAGAGUUAUCUCCUACUGUAUAAUAGGCCAAUAGACCAGGGUGAUCUCCUACUGUAUCAUAGGUCUAUGGACCAGGGUGAUCUCCUACUGUAUAAUAGGCCUAUAGACCAGGGUGAUCUCCUACUGUAUAAUAGGCCUAUAGGCCAGGGUGAUCUCCUACUGUAUUAUAGGUCUAUAGACCGGGGUGAUCUCCUACUGUAUCGUAGGUCUAUAGGCCAGGGUGAUCUACUACUGCAUCAUAGUUCUAUAGACCAGGUGAUAUACUACUGUAUCAUAGGUCUAUAG